CCUACGGGCGGCAGCAGUGAGGAAUAUUGCGCAAUGGGGGAAACCCUGACGCAGCGACGCCGCGUGAGUGAGGAAGGCCUUCGGGUCGUAAAGCUCUGUCAAGAGGAAAGAAGUGUACAAUGGCUAAUACCUGUUGUAUUUGACGGUACCUCUAAAGGAAGCACCGGCUAACUCCGUGCCAGCAGCCGCGGUAAUACGGAGGGUGCAAGCGUUGUUCGGAAUCACUGGGCGUAAAGGGCGCGUAGGCGGCUUGGUAAGUCAGAUGUGAAAGCCCACGGCUUAACUGUGGAAGUGCAUUUGAAACUGCCAGGCUUGAGUACCAGAGGGGAAAGUGGAAUUCCCGGUGUAGAGGUGAAAUUCGUAGAUAUCGGGAGGAAUACCGAAGGCGGAGGCAGUCUUCUAGGCCGUAAUUGACGCUUAACUGCGAAGGUGUGGGGAUCAAACAGGAUUAGAUACCCUUGU
rnacentral:rRNA from 1 species